GGGUCUGUAGCUCAGUUGGUUAGAGCGCGCCCCUGAUAAGGGUGAGGUCGGAGGUUCAAAUCCUCCCAGACCCACCA
rnacentral:tRNA from 4 species